UCAACUUUGCUCAAACAAAAAAACCUAUAUCCAUUUUAUGAAUCUUCUUUUUUUAUUUAACACCAUUCAACCAUAGAAACUUGAUGACAAUUCUUCACUAACCUGCAAUAAAAAUAUUUUUCUUGAAAAAGAAGAAGCAGAAAGAUAUUCCAAGCAAAACAUUGAUGUUUGGAGAGUCACAUUCAAGAUUGAGUAAUACACACAAAUCACAUAUAAAGAUUAAAUGAUAAAGUGAAUAUAAAGAAAGAAUAGAAAAACUUCGAUUGUUUUGGUUGAAAGAAAAAAUUAUAUUACAAUUAUCAUCGAUGCGACAUAACCCAUUUCUUCAAAUCAUCAUAUUUGGAUCGUGAAGGCUUCAACUAUAUGAAAACUUUUGAAUCACAGUAUUUUCAAAUUCUUCUUACAUGUAAGAUUUUAUAUAACACAAAAGACACAAAAGAUUGACCUUUUUAUAGUAUACUUUUCACUAAAUGCUAAUUAAACAUAAUAUAAGUUAUAAAACUUUUGAGUGUUAAAUCGUAAUUAAGAAAACUUUUGAGUUGCGAUAGUUAAAAAAAUGGGGAUUCAAAUGAAUGUGGUUUGAGAAAGUUAAAAAAGGGUUUCAAAUGCAUGACAUUCAAGAAAAAAUGCUAGCUUUAUAAGUAUGUAUGAUAUUUUGCUCCGAUGAUUAACGAUUAUAGUCAAGUGGAUAUACUAAGUGUUUAUACUUAUAUAAUGAAUAACAUCUCACUAUAAAAGCCAUUAACUAAGGUAUACGAAUAAAGUUUUACUAUAAAAGCCGAGUAAGUACAUACGUAAAAGUGUACAAUACUUGCUUAAAUUAGUGGUAAAUGUCAUAGUAAUGAUCACGAGUACAUGCAUAUAUUCUAAGUUAUAAUAUUUAUAACUUUUAUAUAUAUAUAUAUAUAUAUAUAUAUAAAAGUUUGNNNNNNNNNNNNNNNNNNNNNNNNNNNNNNNNNNNNNNNNNNNNNNNNNNNNNNNNNNNNNNNNNNNNNNNNNNNNNNNNNNNNNNNNNNNNNNNNNNNNNNNNNNNNNNNNNNNNNNNAUAAUAUGUUAUUUUGACUAGUUGUAACAUGUUAAACUAACUAUAACAUAUAUAAAACACUAGGUGUAAGAUCCACGUAUUACAUGGGUUCAUUUAAAAAAGUUAUAUAUAAAAUUCUAAACAUUUGAGAAGUUGAAUUUAUAAGAAAAAUAAAAAAAAUAUUGAAUUAUUAAAAUUAAAGUGUUUUUUUAAAUUAAACAAAUAAUUUAGAUAAUCAAACAAAGAAAACUAAUAGACUUUAAUUUAAAAUUUUUGAAAUUAAAAGGAAAGUCAAUUAAUGAAAUUGAAAUGUCUUUAUUAUUAUAUUUAUUGCAAUUAAUACAUUUAAUACAAAUGAAACAACCACAAAAUGUCAUAUGGAAAAAAUUUAAUUGAAAAUAACCACAAAAUGAUAUGUGGUUAAAUCAAUGAGAGUAUGACAAGUGACAAAAAGUUUUUUAUUUAUUAAGGAGGAUGUUUAUAAUUAGUUUUUAGUAAACAAUAUAACAAAGUUUAAACUAGUAAUAUUUGUAACCAAGAUACGAUUUUCAUGAGAGCUUUUAUAAACACAUACUUUUAUAUUGAAGGUAAGAUAUUUGAGUCGUAAAAGUGUAUUUAGACUCAUUUAUAAAUGUCAUUUGCUCAAAUCCAAAAAUACACAAGUUGUAAAAUAUAUAAGUAAACCAAACUUAUAACAACUUUCUUACGAUUCUUAUGACCAAAAUGUUUUUUAUAUAAAGAUUUUGAAUACCAAUUUAUAUAAAAUAAAGUUAUAUUACACUUUGUGAAAAUAUAAAGUAGUCAAGUUUACUCUUGAAAACCUUGUACAAGCAUUUGUAUAGUUUAUAUGUAAACCUCAUAAGUUUCGAAUUUUAUAAACUUUGUAAAUCCAUGUCGUAUUAUUAAUUAAGUAUUAUCUUACUUAAUUUGGAAAUCGAAACUUAACCACUGGGGCAAACUCAUCACAAAAUAUUUUUCAACAACCGGUAAAUUAUAAAUGCGUAUUUUUACCAGUCGUAUAAUUUCAACGACAAAUAUUAAUCAUUCUCUUUACAAUUUUAUUAGUUUAACCGUUUCUGAUUAGGAAGAAUUAUGUCGUAGGGAGAGGUAGUUAACAACCUGAACACUCUUACACACUCGGCCCAAAUUGGGAGGAUUGACUUAAUCUAGACCUAUACUUCUUCGAGUAAAAAUCUUCAAUGUAUCAAUUUGCCUAUAACCGACACUAUAUGUCGCUCCUCCACAAGCCACACAGACACAAUAUAAAUAAAAAUGGAGGAACCGAGAUCAUUAGUAACGCUUUUAAACAUUCGUAUAGUAACGAAGAAAGAAACACUUGAUGCAUGUUGUCUUGUUCGUCAGACGAAGUUGUAGCUAACAACCACAGACGAGGAAACUACGUCAUCACGCAUAAAUCAUUCCAUAAGAAACAAAUAUACACCAAUGUUCUUUAUUAUAAAUCUAUGCCGUGUACAUAGACCUACAAUAUAUGAUCCCUCCUGGAUUAACUAUCAGACCCCCGAACCAGACGGCGGAAACGUCUGGGGGAUUGUGUGUGACUUCAUCUUGAAAUAUCAUUACAGUGAAUAUAAAUGAAACAUAACAUCAUCAUCAUCACACAUGUAAUAUAAAAACAUUCAUUGUUUACAUCGAGUAUUGUAUUUGGAUACUACAUGCCAAAAUAAUCAGAGUAUGAUGAAACAAAAUAUAACACAAUAUUCAUUAGUUUGUUUCGUUCAUCCUGCUUCAACGGUUUCUUGAGAAUACAAGUUAAUUUUAAAAGGUCAACAUAAAAAUGUUGGUGAGUUCAUAAGCAUGUAUGUGAAAAUGAUUUGUAUAACUUUUGAACCGCCAGAAAAUCCUAUAUUUUCUGCAAAUUGUUUAGUAUGUUUGUGUCAUAUCUUGUAUUAAUGCAUGUAUGUUAUUGUUUAUUUGACUGAAAGGGUAAAGAGAAUGUAGAGGGAAUGUAAAGAGAAUGUUACCAGACAACUCGAUGUUGUCUGUAAAAAAAAGAAAGCUGCCAUACCAACCCCCGAGGUUGAUUACCAGUACGAGUAUGUUUCCGAGUAAUCCAAGAGAAAAGAGAAUGGUCUUCCGUAAACUUCAUAACGUUAAUUCCUCAUAGUGAGUCGUCAUAACCAUACUAAAUAAUGACAAUUUCGCCUGUCUUGGCGUUGUUGGACGCCGGUUUUGAUUAUAAGGUUUUCGUCACCCUAGACUGAUUUAGUCUAACUGUAGCGAACAACUCAGGUGUGGGGUGUUAUCCCCGUAUAUAUCUAUACACAAAUCCCCGCUCUCCCUCCUAGAGACUCUGGUUAUAAACUACUGGCAACGAUCAUACACUUAAUAGGUGCCAACCGACAAAACUCACUAGAUCCUUAAUCGAAUUUACGCGAAGAUAAGUAUAAACUCAUUCCAGGCCCAAUGAACCAUGUAAACGAACCACUAAGGCAUCGCUAAACAUGUAAAUCAUUUCAAGGCCCAAUUGGAAUGAGAUUAUAUAACAUGGGCCUGAAAUAUAUAUGAAAGGACAACUAAGGCCCAUUUCACCUGUAAGGUAUUUACAGGCCCAAAUAGCACACAAUAGUAUCCAAGGUCCGUCACACAUGUUAAUGGGUCAAUGAUGCCCAAUAAACAUAUAAAUAGUAUACAAGAUCUAUCAAACAUAUAAAUGGGCCACUAAGGCCCAAUAACCUAGAAAAUGAUCAAAUUAAUUCGUUUGUUAGUUUAUCGUUGGUUUUGGUUCAAGUAUUCACUAAAAUUGCAUAAAAGCCCACUUUUUGUAAAAAUGACGUUCUUGUCCCAAUAAGCCAAAAAUUACAAUUAAGGCCCAAUGUUUGUAAGAAUAACACUUUAGUCUCAAUUUUGUUCAAAACUUGUGUUGAUGACUAGUUUGUGGUAAAAAUAACAUUUUAAACCCAUUUUUGUCAAAAAUAUCAUUUUUGGCUUGAUUUUUGUGAAAACACACAUUUUUCUGGUUUUGGGCUUUUCUAACCUAGUUGUUGGAAAAUGUGUAGAAAAAUCAUCGUAAGUCAAAAUUUAGAUCCGUAAAUUCUGGAAGUUUGGAAAUUUUGUCUACUUUGUUCAGAAAUUUUCUCCUAAUUUUUAAUGGCUUCUAACAAGUUUGAAAUUUCUCACCUUCACAGGCUGGUCCGAAAUUAUUUCAAAUCUGAUAGACAGUUUUGUAAAAUUCGCCAAAAAUUGUAGAAAAAUCGUAUGAAAAUGUGAAAGUAGUAAUUUUAAAGGUAGAAACCUGAACUUCUUACAUGUAAAACAGUUUUGAAAAAUAUUAUCAUUCAGGUGGUCAAAAAAGUUCUAGAUUGGACCAAAACUUUUCUGUGAAGAGCUGAUUUUUGAGUUUAGUUUAUAGAUCUUGGAAUACAACACUCGUUUUUACUAUUUUAAGUGUAUAAAUUCCAGAUCUACUAGUUUACAUGUAUUAUAUGUGAUAACACAUACUUUUCUCAAGGUUUUUCAUGAAGAUCCAAGUGAUAAACUUAAUGUUCUUAACAUAUUCUUUGGUUUAUGAAGUAAACAACACAUAAUCACCAAAUGGUUCAAGAAAACACACAUAAUCAUGCAUAUACACAUAGAUCUACACAAAGCAACUUGUAUUCUCCCUCAAAACCAAGUAAAAAUCGAAAAUAGGGGGUAUGAACUCACCUUGGGGUUUUUGAGAUGUAGAUGAAGAAGAAGAAGAAUCUUUGAACCUAGCUUGAGUUCUUUGAGAUAAUCUCGAAAUGGUGGUGGAUCUAAGAGUUUUUAACACAAACAAAGGAUGUAAACAAGAGUUUUAUCUUCAAAGAUGGGGAGUAGAUGUUGAUGCAUAAUAACAACUUACCAAGAGGUUGAAAAACUUGGUGAAGACUCUUGAAACCCAACCUAAAAUCUCGAAAUUUUGAGGAGAUGAGGGGAUUUCUUGAGAGAGUUUUUGGAGAGUUUGAAUGUGAGAAUGCGUGUGUGUGUUCUUUGGCCGAGGAUAGGGAAGAAAAAGAGAGAGGGUGAGAAGAGUGGUUCUUGAAGUAUGUUGGACAAAUCUUGAUUUUCUUGAUACAUGUUAGACAUUUGUAUCAAAGUAUGGUAAAUAAUAAUGAGGUGGCACUCAUAAUAUCUACCAUCAUUCUCUUUUUUUUUUGUUCAAUAAAUGGGCCGAGAUUUUUAGGCCAAUAAGGUAGGAAUUGGAAUAGCUUGAGCCCAUUAAACUUUAGUUAUGAUUUUUGGAGCCUAAUCAUAAAAUCUUUCGGCCCAUUGGGUCUUUAGGGUAUCUCACGACCCAAUAGUAUAAAAGAAUGGAUUUAUGGCUUACUAGGGUUAAUUGGAUUAGUUAUGGCCCAAUAAGGCCCAUUAGGGUUUAAAUGAACCAUUUUAGGUUCACAUGGCCCAAAAUGUUAAGUUUUAUGAGUGUGGGUCCAAUUAGAACCCAAUUAGGGUUUCUGGGCCCAAAGUAGUUCAAAUUGAAGGUUUAUUGGUCCAUUAGGCUCAAUAAGAGAAUCCUAGUCCAUAGUGAACUUGAACCGGGAUGUCUAGGGUUUUCAACUCAUAGUUGAACAUAUGAGAUGUAUUGUAUUAGGUUUUGACCUUCAUUCAAUAGUUUGGAUUCAAAUGGAUGACGUUGAUUGAACAUAGGGUAUGAUUUUCACUUAGAGUACAAGCCUUACAAUAGCUGAUGUUUUCAUGAGAAUAGAAUUUCCUAGCAAAAAUGCCAGUUGUGACAUUAACGGUUAUAGAGUUAAGUUUCAAUUCUAGGAUUUGAUUGUUAUGAAAGAAAACACACCAUGAUAAAACUCCCCCAUUCACCCCUUUUGGAUUUAUUCCUCCCACAAACACACUUAGGAUACACAAUCCACAAAAUCCAUGACAAAGAUUCUUCGACUCACAAAUCCGUCGUUUACUAGAGUCACUAACGCAAAUCUUAGAUUAUUAAGAUUUUCAAAGCUUAGUGUAUUUAGUUAAAUAAUGAAUUUAACGUAGCGUUCGACUAUUAUAGCGAUAAUAAUUUGAGUAGUUCCUUACUUCAGCCGAUAAGGAGGAUGUUCGUUCGCGUAGCCGAAUACUCAUUUAUGCCGAUAUUCGAUAAGUUGCAUAAUUGAUAUGAUGUAUAAUUUAUUAGAUAAUAAUCCCCAAAAAUCCGAAAAUCAAUUAUAUUAUCAUAUGUGACGAAUUUCGUAUCACAACUAAAAUAAUCUAUAUUUUUAUAAUAUUUAUAAAAAUAAAUUAUCGUUUACUUAGAAAUUGUUUCUACAUUAUGAUCAAGGGUAUACAAAUAAUAAUUGAUUUUUGAUAUAUUUUCAAUUAAUUAUUAUAUAUUUGUCAAAUCUUCGUUUAUAGUUGUUUAAGACAAUGUACAUUUCAUUUGUACACAAUUAUAUUGAAUAACAUAUUUUUGUUAUGUGUAUAAUGUCUUUUUAUGUUUUCUCAAUAUUUUCGUACACAUAUAUACAACUAGUAUUACGGUUUAUGAUUCGUCGAAUAACUUAGAUCUUUAUGUCAAUCUACUUUUAAUCUUGUGAUUUUUAUUAAUAUUAAUUAAUAUAUCAUAAUAAAGUGUAAUUAAGUCAAUUAUAACAUUCUACUAUAACUUUUAUAAUUGAUUUAUGAUUUAUACAUUCUAGAUUGUUAUUUUAAUAAACUUAUGACUAAAAAUAAAGUAUGAUGCUAUUUUGUGUAUAAAACUUUGAAAAUCAUCAAAACUUUAAUAGACACUCAUGUAUUCUCCCCCAAAUAUUAAAACUGUAAAUGAGGGCCGUAGAAACUCACAUUCGAUGCGUGAUCUCGAUCUAGGCUCGCUUUGUGAAGCUUGUCGUGAGAAACCGUAUUUUAACCACUUUUGGACUUUAAAACUUUUUCGGGUUCCUUUUGCAACCAAUUAAAAUAAAGGAAUUGUUGUGUUCCAUUAUUAUAAACAAUAGGAACUGAUUUAAAUAAAGCAAGGUAUCGGAGGGCCGAUUUGGUAAUUAUAAAACUAACAAUAGAGUUGUUGAUCAAACAAUUACCACAAGGAGUGGGUUUUGCUAUUUUAAAAUAAGGAGAGGGACUAAUUUUUGCCAAGUUCAUCAAAUGGACAAAAGGAAUGUGUCUUCUUAAUCCGUUCAUUAGGUUGAGCAAAGGAAAAGAAACGGAUGCUUUCAUCAAGGGGGUCGAUCAGAGGUGAAACGGGAACAAAUGCAUAAACCGAGGGCCAACCAUCUAAUUCCGGCGAGCCUUUCUUGUUUCCGAUGAAUCUUUGUCAGCAGCAAAGGAAAACGAAGGGAGAAGGGGAUCUCCAGUCUUCACCUAUUCAAGAAAGUGAAGGGGACGAAGGCAACAACGAGGGUUAGCCACCCAUCUCCAAUGCCCCACCACAGUCCUUCUCUCAUCAUCGGUGACAACAACCAAGGGGAAUAAGAAAUCGACGACGAAUUAGGUGCCUUGAUGGAGGUAUUCCAUCGUGAAGGGAAGAAGGGUUUUGUUCCUCAUCUGACUGAUGGCAAGGAAGAAUGAGCUGAAUAACUGGGGGUGAUUGGUGGUGUUUCUCGUCAUCAGAAGGGGAAGAAGGAGGGGCGUUUUCCCUUUCUCCAGCGACCCUUGUGGGUCCUUCUUCUUGUCUUCGGUAAUCACAAUUGCAGGGAAGCAAAACAGCAGUAGCAACGAUCAAAAAGUGUGUUUGGGUUGUUUCAAUCGACAGGUAAGGCACAAGGAAGAACAACAAAAAUUUCUUCUUCUUUGAUUGUUUAGAUAGCAACUGAUGAAGGAUUGGAUAUUUGGGGUUUGUUUUGAUUAACAGGGAAUGUGUAAGAAAAGAACCAAAAGAAGAGGUUGAUGGCCUCUUGUUGUUUCCUGGCAGCCACGAUCAAAGAAGAAAGAAGAAGAAGAAGAAGAUUGUUUGAUAGAGAUUGAGUGUGUUUUUGUAUAAUGUGUAGUGUGAUUUUGUAUAACACAGUUGUGUGUAGUUUUGGGUAAGAUGAAGUGUAUAAGAAACGUACUUGUCAGUUCCAUUUAUUGUUGUACUUUGAGGUAAAUUUAGAAGCAAUGUAUUCC
rnacentral:lncRNA from 1 species